rnacentral:tRNA from 1 species
GGGGGUGUAUCUCAGUGGUAGAGUUUGUGCUCAGCAUGCACAGGGUCCUGGGUUCAAGCCCCAGUACCUCCA